ACGCACGCUGGCGGCGUGCUUCACACAUGCAAGUCGAACGAAGAGCGAUGGAAGCUUGCUUCUAUCAAUCUUAGUGGCGAACGGGUGAGUAACGCGUAAUCAACCUGCCCUUCAGAGGGGGACAACAGUUGGAAACGACUGCUAAUACCGCAUACGAUCUAAUCUCGGCAUCGAGGAUAGAUGAAAGGUGGCCUCUACAUGUAAGCUAUCACUGAAGGAGGGGAUUGCGUCUGAUUAGCUAGUUGGAGGGGUAACGGCCCACCAAGGCGAUGAUCAGUAGCCGGUCUGAGAGGAUGAACGGCCACAUUGGGACUGAGACACGGCCCAGACUCCUACGGGAGGCAGCAGUGGGGAAUCUUCCGCAAUGGACGAAAGUCUGACGGAGCAACGCCGCGUGAGUGAUGACGGCCUUCGGGUUGUAAAGCUCUGUUAAUCGGGACGAAAGGCCUUCUUGCGAAUAGUGAGAAGGAUUGACGGUACCGGAAUAGAAAGCCACGGCUAACUACGUG
rnacentral:rRNA from 1 species